rnacentral:rRNA from 1 species
CCCUUGUACACACCGCCCGUCACACCAUGGGAGUUGGUUUUACCUGAAGGAGGUGCGCUAACCCGCAAGGGAGGCAGCCGACCACGGUAGGGUCAGCGACUGGGGUG